UUAGUACUCCCUCCGUCCCAAAAUUCUUGUCUUAGAUUUGUCUAGAUACGGAUGUAUACAUCUGCUAAGACAAGAAUUUUGGGACGGAGGGAGUACAAA
rfam:Triticum aestivum genome assembly, contig: Triticum_aestivum_CS42_TGACv1_scaffold_499891_6BL